CUACAGGGCGCCGCCAUUGUGGACCCAAAGUUGUGCGGAGAAGAAAAGUUGACAGGAGAUCUGAUUGGUCAUUAACAGAAAAUCUUUGUGAUGGAAUUUAAUAGUGAAAUAUAAGUGAUAAAAAUGACAGGUGACAUAACAGAAUAUGUAGAAAGAUACAGAAGUUAUAAGGGAAGAUCUGAGUGGAGAGGUGAUAUUUGGAUGGACAAUUUCAUUUAGUGCGGAUCUACACUAGUUGUAAACAGGCCAAAAUUUGAAGGAAAAACGCAACGGCAAGCCAUAUAUUUUUUGGUGGAAUUUUGAAGGGGAGAUGAUGAACUUUGCUGAAUGGUGACUGAUUUUUUGAAAAUUGGCUUAAUAAAUAAUUGACAGUGAUUGGAAUUUGUAUGGAAGUCUAUGGGAAAACAUUUGGUGGUGUUUGUCCUAUACUGAGGUAGCGAGAACCAGUUUAUGAGAGAUUGGCUAACCCUCCCCCCUCUGGGAUAGGAGCACCCACACCAGCACAUAAGGCCUUUAGGGAUUCCCCAGGACCAUUAUUUGUACUGUGAGCUGCACUGUGAGCCCGACCAUGAAAGUUGCGUGCAAAGGUGACAUUCUUGGGUAGUGAACGCCUUAGACGUCGAUUAAAGCUCUCCACUUUCUGUGUAUUGCUAUUUAGAAUGGAUUUGUCUAGCACUGACGGAGCAAGCCGUUUAUUGACACAGGCUCUAAGAAUCCUUGCAUUGGCCCUGGAGUAAGGAAUUCUGAAGUUUUCAUCAAGAGAAGACUCGGCUGGAGGUGGGGUGUUGGUUGACAUGAGGAUUUUACGAAGAGAAGAACUGCCAAUGGGGGUUUGACUGAGACCUAUUUGUAGGCCAUAGUUUAUUGCUGCUGCUUUCCUUCCCCUGGAACCGGAUUCUACUUCGACAUAGAGGCUAUACAUUUUGGACACGUAGGUGCAGGUGUUACAUUUAAGCCGUAACCUAGUGCCCAGGCCACGCCUCUCUUCAGAGUCCAAGUCCCAGGUUAGGUCACCAUCACAGCCUGGAUUGGCCCGCCCAUGUUCUUUGAACUCUGCGUUGAACAUGCCACAUGUCUUUUCCAGAUGCAGCAGUCUGUAGGAGUCAUUUUCACACCUGCCGAAAUCAGUUAUGUACCUGAUUACUUCCUAACCAGGCAAGUUCAUUUUCAGAAAUUAGAGUUACUUCCCUUUGACUAUACUUGUUCUCAAAGUU